GCUCUCGGUGUAGAUCCGGCUGCGGAAGAACUGGCACUGCGACCUGCCGAUGGUGUGCGCCCCCGACAGCGCCGUCAUGUCGCGCGCCGACAGGCCCUGGUUGCCGAACAUCCUGAUGAGCGUGGCCAGGCUUGACCCCGGGCCUGGCAGGUUCGAGUUCGCCAGGCUCUGGCUCGCCGUCCGCGAGUCCUUCCGGCCCAGCGGCACGCUCCAUGUCGGCCCUCCCAGCUGCAUUGUUGUAUAUAUAGACAUAGACUACUGUAUUAGCCGUGUGACGAGAGGGUCGUCGGUCGUCACCGGGAGGAAGAAGAAGCAGAGGACUGCUGACCAGGUUGACCCCGUCACGGGCGGCGAGGGCGAGGAUGUCGGCGCAGGAGACGGUGGCCUUGCAGGAGGCCUCCACCUUCGUCUUGAUGGCGUCGAUGACCUCG
rnacentral:lncRNA from 1 species